CUGAGAGGAUGACCAGCCACACUGGAACUGAGACACGGUCCAGACUCCUACGGGAGGCAGCAGUGGGGAAUAUUGCACAAUGGGCGCAAGCCUGAUGCAGCCAUGCCGCGUGUAUGAAGAAGGCCUUCGGGUUGUAAAGUACUUUCAGCGGGGAGGAAGGGAGUAAAGUUAAUACCUUUGCUCAUUGACGUUACCCGCAGAAGAAGCACCGGCUAACUCCGUGCCAGCAGCCGCGGUAAUACGGAGGGUGCAAGCGUUAAUCGGAAUUACUGGGCGUAAAGCGCACGCAGGCGGUUUGUUAAGUCAGAUGUGAAAUCCCCGGGCUCAACCUGGGAACUGCAUCUGAUACUGGCAAGCUUGAGUCUCGUAGAGGGGGGUAGAA
rnacentral:rRNA from 1 species